rnacentral:lncRNA from 1 species
UGAGGCUUAAUCACCCUGCUGUUCUGCCUUUUCUCUAUUUCAUGAAAGAAAGGGUAGAGAAGACACGUGUGUAUUUCACACAGACUUCUUUGGUUCCUUUUGACGAUUUCUGCGUGCCUCUUCCCUGAUUCCUCCUUGUGUUUGCUGCUAACAGCCUGCCCAUGUGAAAUGCUUCAGAACCCUGCCCUUGGGCUCACGGAGUCAUGUUGCCUACACCUGGGAAUUUGGAUGGCCCUUAGCAAGUGACUUACUCUGUGGGAGCACAAAAACCCAGCUCCCUUGGCUGGGGUCAGGACGAACACAUCCUCAUGCUAUGCACAUAUAACCAAAUCAAGGCACCAGUAUUUACUGUGGAAUUCAAGAGGAAAAGCUCAGUCUCUGUGGGAAUGGCUUAGAAACAGUGCUCUUUCCAUCAUGAGGUGGAGUUACUUCUCCAGCGUUUGAAUCUGCUGUUUUGAUCAACAGAAUAUGGCUGAAGUGACAUGUGUGUUUGUGCCUGGGUGAAGAUGGGGGGCAUUUAAGUCCAGGGCUUAGGAGUUCUGGUAGCUUCCACUUUUGCCUGGGGGGUUUCCAGCCACCAUGUGAAGAAGCUCAGAUUAACCUGCUGGAGACAGAAGCCACUUAGGAGGAGAGCCAAGCUCCCAGAUAUAUUAGUGAACCCGGCUGACCCCAUGAAAAGAGAGAGGCCCAGCCACCCCAGUUAGCCCCAGCCAUGCGAACCACCCCAACUGAGCCAUCAGACAUGUCAGUGUGGCCAUUUUGGGUUUUCCAGCUCCAGUCAAGAUAUUGCAGCCCCAAAUUCCUGAACCACAGAACUGUGAGAUGUAAAAAGGUAGUUGUUUUAUGCUACUAAGUUUUGGGGUGGUUUGUUAGGAAGCAAUAGCUAACAGCAGACACUUGUAGUUGCUCCACAAUAUCCCUUCUCCCCCUUUUCCUCUUUAAAAGAAAGGCUGAGUUUUCUAGCUGGUUAAAUGGCCACCUAAAAUAAAAAUUACAUUUCUCAACUUUCCUUGCCACUAGAUAUAGCCAUAUGACUAAGUUCCAGUCAAUGAGAUGCAAGUAAGAAUGGGUAUAUGCAACUUCCAGCGUAGUAUUUAUUUUGGAGGCCUUUAUCUUACCAAUAUAUCAGAGUCUAGCACUGGAAAGAUAAGAAUACCAUGACCAUCUUUCCUUCCUACCCUACCCAAAUGAGAUAUGGGUUGCUUUGGAGUCUGUUAGGAAAAAAACAAGAGCAACAGCAACCCAAACACUGUAGUGUAGACAGGCCAUGAGGAUCAAAAGGUCAAUGGAGAAAAAAAGGAGCUAAAAAUGAUACAGUGAGCACCAACUGAAAAGACUAUCUUUAACCCACUAACAGUUUCUAACAUUUUGAGUACCUUGAAAAAUAAGUGGUGGUGAAUCUUCUCAUUGAAAAUGAAUUUAAAUGAAGACAUUAGGCCUUUUGACUCUGGGCAUAGAAUGUUCUCAGGGUAAUAACACAGGUCUGGUACUUGCACCUUAAUUACCCACAGAUGGCUGUGGGUAAUUACCCACAGAUGGCUGUGAUCUUGCUGUAGUAGAACUUACGGAAAUCUCCUUGCCAUAUCCUGGACCCAGGUAAAUAGUCCUUCCAGGUGUGGUAGAAAGUUGAGAGGUUUGGUUAAAACACUGCAAGGGAAGCCAAGACUAGCAUAGAUGCCUUCCUAGGGCUCCUCUUCCUGUUAGCAUUAGGCUUUGUGCAUUCUUCAUCUCUCUUGAUUCUGUCACGUUCUCUUUCUCUCUAUGGCCACUUCCCUGUGUUCAGCCUUCACAAUUUCUCUCUGGGGCUCCCUGUCCUCAUGAUGUCACCUCGAAUCCAUUCCUCACUCUGCACCUAAAGUAAUUUCUCUAGAGAGUAUAUCAGAUUCAUGACAUACCUGUGCUUACAAUCCCAGCAAGUCUCCUCAAUCCUUCCAUAGGAAGAAGAAAGCCGCGCUCGGGCUCUGUGUGAUCUAGCACCACCUUUUUUCCUUCCCUUAUCCUUCCAUUCCUCCUCUUUCACAUGCUAGAUGACAUGUCCAGCCACCUUGGAUGACUCGAAAACUCCUGAAGCACCCCAGCUAUCAAAUCCUUAGAGCCUCUUUCCUGGCCCCUUCUUCUAAGACAAUUCUUUCUUGCCUUUUAAGAUUCAGAUCAUGGCCAGGCGCGAUGGCUCAAGUCUGUAAUCCCAGCACUUUGGGAGGCCGAGGUGGGCCGAUCACCUGAGGUCAGGAGUUCAAGACCAGCCUGGCCAACAUGGUGAAACCCUGU